ACCACAACAGGUGGAGCCUGACGUUUAAGUCGGACUCAACGCCGGGAAACUCACCAGAUAAGACAGCUGAAUGAUAGUCGGGCUGAAAGACUCUACUUGACUAGCUGAGAGGAGGUGCAUGGCCGUCGUCAGUUCGUACUGUGAAGCAUCCUGUUAAGUCAGGCAACGAGCGAGACCCACGCCCACAGUUGCCAGCGUACUCUCCGGAGUGACGGGUACACUGUGGGACCGCCGCUGCUAAAGCGGAGGAAGGAAUGGGCAACGGUAGGUCAGUAUGCCCCGAAUAUCCCGGGCUACACGCGAGCUACAAUGGUUGGUACAAUGGGUAUCUACCCCGAAAGGGGACGGGAAUCUCCUAAAACCAAUCUUAGUUCGGAUUGAGGGCUGCAACUCGCCCUCAUGAAGCUGGAAUCCGUAGUAAUCGCGUUUCAACAGAACGCGGUGAAUACGUCCCUGCUCCUU
rnacentral:rRNA from 1 species